rnacentral:tRNA from 1 species
GGUGGCUCAGUGGUAGAGCGCUUGCUUUGUAUGCAGGCCCUGGGUUCGAUUCCUCAGCACCA